rnacentral:rRNA from 1 species
AGUGAACGCUGGCGGUAGGCCUAACACAUGCAAGUCGAACGGCAGCACAGUAAGAGCUUGCUCUUACGGGUGGCGAGUGGCGGACGGGUGAGGAAUACAUCGGAAUCUACUUUUUCGUGGGGGAUAACGUAGGGAAACUUACGCUAAUACCGCAUACGACCUACGGGUGAAAUCAUGGGAUCUUCGGACCUUGCGCGAUUGAAUGAGCCGAUGUCGGAUUAGCUAGUUGGCGGGGUAAAGGCCCACCAAGGCGACGAUCCGUAGCUGGUCUGAGAGGAUGAUCAGCCACACUGGAACUGAGACAAGGUACAGACUACUACGGGAGGCAGCAGUGGGGAAUAUUGGACAAUGGGCGCAAGCCUGAUCCAGCCAUACCGCGUGGGUGAAGAAGGCCUUCGGGUUGUAAAGCCCUUUUGUUGGGAAAGAAAAGCAGCAGGUUAAUACCCCGCUGUUCUGACGGUACCCAAAGAAUAAGCACCGGCUAACUUCGUG